CCCCAGGAUAGAUACUGGACCCCAGGAUAGAUACUGGACUACAGAUAGCUGUGUUAGUACCAGUCCUACUGGACCCCAGGAUAGAUACUGGACCCCAGGAUAGAUACUGGACCCCAGGAUAGAUACUGGACCCCAGGAUAGAUACUGGACCCCAGGAUAGAUACUGGACCCCAGGAUAGAUACUGGACCCCAGGAUAGAUACUGGACCCCAGGAUAGAUACUGGACCCCAGGAUAGAUACUGGACUACAGAUAGCUGUGUUAGUACCAGUCCUACUGGACCCCAGGAUAGAUACUGGACCCCAGGAUAGAUACUGGACCCCAGGAUAGAUACUGGACCCCAGGAUAGAUACUGGACCCCAGGAUAGAUACUGGACCCCAGGAUAGAUACUGGACCCCAGGAUAGAUACUGGACCCCAGGAUAGAUACUGGACCCCAGGAUAGAUACUGGACCCCAGGAUAGAUACUGGACUACAGAUAGCUGUGUUAGUACCAGUCCUACUGGACCCCAGGAUAGAUACUGGACCCCAGGAUAGAUACUGGACCCCAGGAUAGAUACUGGACUACAGAUAGCUGUGUUAGUACCAGUCCUACUGGACCCCAGGAUAGAUACUGGACCCCAGGAUAGAUACUGGACCCCAGGAUAGAUACUGGACCCCAGGAUAGAUACUGGACCCCAGGAUAGAUACUGGACCCCAGGAUAGAUACUGGACCCCAGGAUAGAUACUGGACCCCAGGAUAGGUACUGGACCCCAGGAUAGGUACUGGACCCCAGGAUAGAUACUGGACCCCAGGAUAGAUACUGGACCCCAGGAUAGAUACUGGACCCCAGGAUAGAUACUGGACCCCAGGAUAGAUACUGGACCCCAGGGUAGGUACUGGACCCCAGGAUAGAUACUGGACUACAGAUAGCUGUGUUAGUACCAGUCCUACUGGACCCCAGGAUAGAUACUGGACCCCAGGAUAGAUACUGGACGCCAGGAUAGAUACUGGACCCCAGGGUAGAUACUGGACCCCAGGGUAGAUACUGGACCCCAGGAUAGAUACUGGACCCCAGGAUAGAUACUGGACCCCAGGGUAGAUACUGGACCCCAGGAUAGAUACUGGACCCCAGGAUAGAUACUGGACCCCAGGAUAGGUACUGGACUACAGAUAGUUGUGUUAGUACCAGUCCUACUGGACCCCAGGAUAGAUACUGGACCCCAGGAUAGGUACUGGACUACAGAUAGUUGUGUUAGUACCAGUCCUACUGGACCCCAGGACAGAUACUGAACCCCAGGAUAGAUACUGGACCCCAGGAUAGGUACUGGACUACAGAUAGUUGUGUUAUUACCAGUCCUACUGGACCCCAGGAUAGAUACUGAACCCCAGGAUAGAUACUGGACUACAGAUAGUUGUGUUAGUACCAGUCCUACUGGACCCGGGAUAGAUACUGGACCACAGCUAUGCAGUAAGUCAGGUCUAUAGAUCCACACCACAGCUAUGCAGUUAGUCAGGUCUAUAGAUCCACAGCUAUGCAGUAAGUCAGAUCUAUAGAUCCACACCACAGCUAUACAGGAAGUCAGGUCUAUAGAUCCACACCACAG